rnacentral:lncRNA from 1 species
GCUGCGGGCCGCCCGCCCGGACGCAAGGCACAGGGGGACGCCCCGCCGAGCCGCUGCCCACUGCACCGAGUUUUUCGGAGGCUGGGAGAGGAAAUGCCACUUGGAUUUUAAAACCGUCACCGAUACGCUAUAGCCCUGCUUUCUCUACCUCCAGUCGUUUUCUGAGGACCGGCUUGGUGGGUGCUGAUGCCUGCCUGGAAGACCUCACACCCACAGUGUCUUAGAAGAUUCUGAAAGCAGUGUGAGACCAGAAUGACCAGCAAAGGAGAAAAGAACAAGGACACAUUGCAGCCAAAAUGGAGCUAGAAUCUUGCCUCUGUCCAUCCUUCACUGGAGUUAUCCUGGAUGGAGAAGGAACCAUAUCACCUGCAAAGCCUGGAAGGGGAGCCCUGCUGUGAGGUGAGCCAGUCUUUCUCAGGUGAGGCCCCAGGCUGUGACCAGGCCCCUGCCCUGCAUGUGACUCAGGCCUAGCCCCUGCUGGGGCAGGAAUGCCACCCAGCACAGCAUCCUACUGGUGCCUGAAUAAAGAAUGGACUGGAGGUUCACCUGAAAGGGGCUGCCAGGUUUCUGCGGGGGCCAGCCAACGGCUCACAAUGACCCUGUGUUCGACUCAUCUUACGAUGAAAUUUUUCAGCUUGACGAACUUUUACUCAUCUUUCAAGGCUCGGCUCAAAUGUUAUUUCCCUGGGAAAACUGCGCUACUUUCAGCAAAAUGCAUUUCCUUUUGAUGGGCAUCUGUUUUUUUCUUUCUUUCUUUCUUUCUUUUUUUUUUUUUUUUUUUUUUUUUUGAGACAGGGUCUUGCUCUCUUGUCCAGGCUGGAGUGCAGUGGUGCAAUCUUGGCUCACUGAACCUUCACAAUGGGCAUCUGUUUCUGUUCUAUGGAGUGACCUAAAAGUCAAGAAUCAUGGAGAAAUUGGGAGCAAUGGCUCACGCCUGUAAAUCCCAGCACUUUGGGAGGCUGAGGCAGGCGGAUCACUUGAGGCCAGGAGUUCGAGACCAGCCUGGCCAACAUGGUGAAACCCCGUCUCUACUAAAAAUACAAAAAAAAAAAAAUCUGUUAGCUGAGCACUGUGGCGUGCGCCUGUUAUCCCAGCUACUCGGGAGGUUGAGGCACAAGAAUUGCUUGAAGCUGGGAGGGGGAGGUUGCGGUGAGCCGAGAUCAAGCCACUGCACUCCAGCCUUGGUGACAGAGUGAAACUGUGUCUCAAAAAUUUUAAAAAAAAAAAAAUCAUGGGGAGAAUUUAUUGUUAAACAGAAUAUUAGUUACAUUUUCAAAUAAUACAGUCAAUAUGUUUUUCUGUAACCUUUAGAUAUGUUUUCAGGUGAAGUACCUCUAAAUGUAAAGAAAUGGGUCCAAUUGUUAAUUUUUUUUAAAGGUUCAAGAAAUACACUACUUUCUCUGGCUUUUUCCUUACAACUCUUUUUUUUUUUUUUUUUUUUUUGAGAUGAAGUCUUGCUCUGUCACCCAGGCUGGAGUGCAGUGGCAUGAUCUCAGCCCACUGCAACCUCCACCUCCCGGGUUCAAGCGAUUUUCCUGCCUCAGCCUCCUGAGUAGCUGGGAUUACAGGCACACGUCACCACACCCGGCUAAUUUUUGUAUUUUUAGUAGAGACAGGAUUUUGCCAUGUUGGCCAGGCUUGUCUCAAACUCCUGACUUCAGGUCAUCCGCCUGCCUUAGCCUCUCAAAGUGCUGGGAUUAUAGGCUUGAGCCACUGUGCCCUGGCCUCUUGUACCUUUUUUACAUUAACAACUGGACUCGCUUUAAAUGUAGAGAUACUUCCUGAAAUGGUGUGUGAAGGUUGAAGAAAAACAUGAGCAUAUUAUUUGAAAAUGUGGCUAAAGUUCUGUUUUAAAGUAAGUUUAUGGUAAUAUUUCUAACUUUUCAGAUGCUCUGUAGUUCUUGGCACAUUUUUCACUAAUAUUUGGUGACAGGUCUGUCCCCGUUAAAAAUUGAGAAUUCCACAAAGCCUGGGAUAUGUUUUAUUCUUCUUUGACUCUUCACUCCCCAGCUAACCACCAUGCAGUGGGCAAUCAUAAGGGUUUAAUGAAUGAAUAAAUGAUCAAGUCAGGUAGGUUUUCCCCGAAUUCUUGUCUUUGGGGCUGAACCCAGGGUAGGUUUCCUGGCAUCAUUCCUGUGUUUUCUACUCUCCCUCCCUAAUCCUCUGAAAGUUUGAACAAAAAUAAGAUUAUGGGCCAGGUGUGGUGGCUCACGCCUGUAAUCCCAGCACUUUGGGAGGCUGAGGUGGGAGGAUGGCUUGAGCCCAGGGGUUUGAGACUAGCCUGGGCAACAUGGCGAAAUCCCGUCUCUACAAAAAAUAGAAAAAUUAUCUGGGUGUGGUGGUGCGCACCUGUAGUCCCAGCUACUCGGGAAGCUGAGGUGGGAGGAUCACCUGAGCCCGAGGAGGUCCAGGCUGCAGUGAACCAAGAUCACAUCACUACACUCCAGCCUGAGUGACAGAGUGAGACCCUGUCUCAAAAAAUAAAAAUAAAAAUA